CAGUGGGUUAACUGCCUUGUUCAGGGGAACAGUGGGUUAACUGCCUUGUUCAGGGGAACAGUGGGUUAACUGCCUUGUUCAGGGGAACAGUGGGUUAACUGCCUUGUUCAGGGGCAGAACGGCAGAUUUUUACCUUGUCGGCUCGGGGAUUCGAUCUUGAAACCUUUCGGUUACUAGGCCAACGCUCUAACCACUAGGCCAACGCUCUAACCACUAGGCCAACGCUCUAACCACUAGGCCAACGCUCUAACCACUAGGCCAACGCUCUAACCACUAGGCCAACGCUCUAACCACUAGGCCCUUCUGAAGUGAUAGAAACUUCUGACAUAGAAUCAACACUGUGUGGGGAAUUAAUUUUUAUCCCGGUGUGUGAUUUUAGUGUCAUGUCAGAUAAAACGGUCUGACAUAGGAACCAACCGACCCACUACUAGGGACAAUGAUGAAUACUGGGUGUGUUUGUAUGUAGGUUGAAUGUGUUUGCAGUGUGCGUGUGUAAUCGGUGUGUGUUAUCAGUGUGUGUAUGUGUUAUCAGUGUGUGUGUGUAAUCGGUGUGUGUUAUCAGUGUGUGUAUGUACUCUGCUCCAUGCUGGGUAGUAAUUUCAGUGUGUGUGCAGUGAGUUGACAUCUUUGAGUUCAGAGUCAACAGUCUAACAGCCACAUCACUAGCAUCUGAGAGUGUCCAGAGAUCUCCCUCCCUCCCUGGUUAUUAAAUACCAGAGUUCAGCUUUAGGUCCAAUCAAACGACCCUCGAGGAAAUAUCAGCUUAACCAAAGUCAUGGGACCUCUCUCACACACACACACACCUACACACACACACAGUUUGUAUAACUAACCUUGUGGGGACUAACAAAAUGGCCCCUAGUUUGUCACGUUUGUUUGUUUGCUAUUGUUGUGGGUCACUUCUGGUCCUCACAAGUAUAGAGUUAAACACAUCCACUCACUCACACACAGCCCCGUCCACUGGCUUUGUGUUUGGUGUUCUGUCCCUCUGGGCAGACAUCACUUCAACCUCUACUUUUGAUUUAC
ensembl:lncRNA